rnacentral:rRNA from 1 species
CCCCCCACACUGGUACUGAGACACGGACCAGACUCCUACGGGAGGCAGCAGUGAGGAAUAUUGGUCAAUGGACGCAAGUCUGAACCAGCCAUGCCGCGUGCAGGAUGACGGCUCUAUGAGUUGUAAACUGCUUUUGUACGAGGGUAAACGCAGAUACGUGUAUCUGUCUGAAAGUAUCGUACGAAUAAGGAUCGGCUAACUCCGUGCCAGCAGCCGCGGUAAUACGGAGGAUUCAAGCGUUAUCCGGAUUUAUUGGGUUUAAAGGGUGCGUAGGCGGUUUGAUAAGUUAGAGGUGAAAUUUCGGGGCUCAACCCUGAACGUGCCUCUAAUACUGUUGAGCUAGAGAGUAGUUGCGGUAGGCGGAAUGUAUGGUGUAGCGGUGAAAUGCUUAGAGAUCAUACAGAACACCGAUUGCGAAGGCAGCUUACCAAACUAUAUCUGACGUUGAGGCACGAAAGCGUGGGGAGCAAACAGGAUUAGAUACCCUGGUAGUCCACGCAGUAAACGAUGAUAACUCGUUGUCGGCGAUACACAGUCGGUGACUAAGCGAAAGCGAUAAGUUAUCCACCUGGGGAGUACGUUCGCAAGAAUGAAACUCAAAGGAAUUGACGGGGGCCCGCACAAGCGGAGGAACAUGUGGUUUAAUUCGAUGAUACGCGAGGAACCUUACCCGGGCUUGAAAGUUAGCGACGAUUCUUGAAAGAGGAUUUCCCUUCGGGGCGCGAAACUAGGUGCUGCAUGGUUGUCGUCAGCUCGUGCCGUGAGGUGUCGGGUUAAGUCCCAUAACGAGCGCAACCCCUACCGUUAGUUGCCAUCAGGUGAAGCUGGGCACUCUGGCGGGACUGCCGGUGUAAGCCGAGAGGAAGGUGGGGAUGACGUCAAAUCAGCACGGCCCUUACGUCCGGGGCUACACACGUGUUACAAUGGGGGGUACAGAAGGCAGCUACCUGGUGACAGGAUGCUAAUCCCAAAAACCUCUCUCAGUUCGGAUCGAAGUCUGCAACCCGACUUCGUGAAGCUGGAUUCGCUAGUAAUCGCGCAUCAGCCAUGGCGCGGUGAAUACGUUCCCGGGCCUUGUACACACCGCCCGUCAAGCCAUGGGAGCCGGGGGUACCUGAAGUGCGUAACCGCGAGGAGCGCCCUAGGGUAAAACUGGUGACUGGGGCUAAGUCGUAACAAGGUAGCCGUACCGGAAGGUGCGGCUG